UGCAGAAAUCACUUGAUCAGACCACACAAUGCAGAGCAGAUUGUUGCGUUUGCUGCUCUAACAUUCAAGUAUUCCCCUCACGAAGUGAACCAAAGACUUAAACCUCAAUGAAUGAGUGAGAGUAAAAUUUACGACACGCUGAAUGUUUGAGUAAUCAGUCAAAACGGGCACAAGCUAAAGGACAUCCUAGAUGUUCUGAAUAGAAAUGGCAAAGUUGCAUGUUAUGUAUCUUUACUAUCAAACCUGCGCUUUUGUUACUCUAAAAUGUCACAUUCUAGGCACCCAGAGAUCCAUUUCCUACUAUGUGCUUAUGUACCAUCCUGAAUAAUAGAGAAAUGAAUACAUUAAUUCAUCUUUCAGCGUGUUGUUGCCUCACUUUGUGAGAACCUGUGAUAAUUAUGAGCCGCUGAAAGACAAAAACUAGAUGGGCCUGCUGCGUGUAAUGAAAGGGGUACGACUUAAAGCCUGGGAAGCGUGAUGAGCAUCAGUAAGUGUUCAACACAGUGCGCAGCAAAGCUGAGCAGCAUCUCAACGGUUUGACUGCAAGACCAAGAGGAUGCCCGUUAAACGAGUUGUUUUCUAAACCGAUACCCAAAGCGCACGGCGCCAGGUGUACCCGCAGAUACUGCUGCCAAAGCAGCAAAUGCCACGGUACGGGCCAGGCCAUCUCCAUCUCCAUCAAAGCAGAGCGCUUCAAAACGGACAAUCUCACUUCUCUCUUUUCCCCACAGGUCUGAGUAGUUUUGUAUCUAUCUCAAAUGAGACACAGAGGUAUGCUCCAAGCUGACCCAAAAGUCAGCUGGUCAUGACAAACCUCCCGUCGGGCCCCCUCUCUCUCUCUCCCCAUCUGUCCUCAGAAAGGAUCCUUUGUGCCAGGCUCUCACGGGUGCCUCUGCACCGCGGUUUUAACUUUCACUGACACAACCUGGGGCCAAUAGGACCCUCGCCCAAAACCGUGGACAGGAAGAACGAGCGAAAGCUGCAAGGAGCAGCCCAGCUCAGCCUGUGAGAAGCGCUCCGCUGUGACUGAGAUAGCCGAGGACCGAUGGUCAACGGUGGCUGACGGUGGCCUGUUCCUGACCCGUGUCAGAGGAUUUGGAAGAUGUGAGGAGGAGGACUUGAACAAGCAGGUGAACGUCAGCUCCUCCCUGGAUGGCUUUGGAUCAGGUGGUCGUGGCUGGGAUUGAAAGUGCUAGGACCUCCCUGUGAACUCUGGCAUGUCGUGUUCAAUAGAUUCCACCAGGUGGCACACUACCCAGCGUGGACGUGAGGCUGCUCGCUUCCUUUUCCUUUUAAUCUUCUAAUGUAAAUGUCACACCACAACCUAAUGUGAAGUGAAUUAUUUGUAGUCCUCUUGUUGGAAAGUUUAGGCUCUGGUGUAACUUUCUGCCCCCCC